rnacentral:rRNA from 1 species
AUUGAAUGCUGGCGGAAUGCUUUACACAUGCAAGUCGAGCGGCAGCGCGGUCUUCGGACUGGCGGCGAGCGGCGAACGGGUGAGUAAUACAUCGGAACAUGCCCAGUCGUGGGGGAUAACACUUCGAAAGAAGUGCUAAUACCGCAUACGUCCUGAGGGAGAAAGCGGGGGAUCGCAAGACCUCGCGCGAUUGGAGUGGCCGAUGUCAGAGUAGCUAGUUGGUGGGGUAAAGGCCUACCAAGGCAACGAUCUGUAGCUGGUCUGAGAGGAUGAUCAGCCACACGUGGACUGAGACACGGCCCAGACUCCUACGGGAGGCAGCAGUGGGGAAUUUUGGAAAAUGGGGGCAACCCUGAUCCAGCCAUUCCGCGUGAGUGAAGAAGGCCUUCGGGUUGUAAAGCUCUUUCGGCAGGAACGAAACGGCGAGCUCUAACAUAGCUCGCUAAUGACGGUACCCGAAGAAGAAGCACCGGCUAACUACGUGCCAGCAGCCGCCGUAAUAC